rnacentral:rRNA from 1 species
AUUGAACGCUGGCGGCAUGCUUUACACAUGCAAGUCGAACGGCAGCGCGGGCUUCGGCCUGGCGGCGAGUGGCGAACGGGUGAGUAAUGCAUCGGAACGUGCCCAGUAGUGGGGGAUAGCCCGGCGAAAGCCGGAUUAAUACCGCAUACGACCUGAGGGUGAAAGCGGGGGACCGAAAGGCCUCGCGCUAUUGGAGCGGCCGAUGUCGGAUUAGCUAGUUGGUGGGGUAAAGGCUUACCAAGGCGACGAUCCGUAGCUGGUCUGAGAGGACGACCAGCCACACUGGGACUGAGACACGGCCCAGACUCCUACGGGAGGCAGCAGGGGGAAAUUUUGGACAAUGGGGGGAACCCUGAGCCAGCCAUGCCGCGUGAGGGAAGAAGGCCUUCGGGUUGUAAACCGUUUUUGUUCGGGAAGAAAUCCUCUGGGCUAAUACCCCGGGGGGAUGACGGUACCGGAAGAAUAAGCACCGGCUAACUACG